rnacentral:rRNA from 1 species
GAUGAACGCUGGCGGCGUGCCUAAUACAUGCAAGUCGAGCGAACAGACGAGGAGCUUGCUCCUCUGACGUUAGCGGCGGACGGGUGAGUAACACGUGGAUAACCUACCUAUAGGACUGGGAUAACUUCGGGAAACCGGAGCUAAUACCGGAUAAUAUAUUGAACCGCAUGGUUCAAUAGUGAAAGACGGUUUUGCUGUCACUUAUAGAUGGAUCCGCGCCGCAUUAGCUAGUUGGUAAGGUAACGGCUUACCAAGGCAACGAUGCGUAGCCGACCUGAGAGGGUGAUCGGCCACACUGGAACUGAGACACGGUCCAGACUCCUACGGGAGGCAGCAGUAGGGAAUCUUCCGCAAUGGGCGAAAGCCUGACGGAGCAACGCCGCGUGAGUGAUGAAGGUCUUCGGAUCGUAAAACUCUGUUAUUAGGGAAGAACAAAUGUGUAAGUAACUAUGCACGUCUUGACGGUACCCAAUCAGAAAGCCACGGCUAACUACGUG